ACCUGGUUAGCUCAAUUGGUUAGAGCGUCAGACUUUUAAUCUGAAGGCUACGGGUUCGACCCCCGUACCGGGUG
rnacentral:tRNA from 1 species